GACGAAGGAUGCAAGCGUUAUCCGGAUUCAUUGGGUUUAAAGGGUGCGUAGGCGGCCAGAUAAGUCAGUGGUGAAAUCCUGUUGCUUAACAACAGAACUGCCAUUGAUACUGUUUGGCUUGAGUAUAGUUGCUGUGGGCGGAAUAUGACAUGUAGUGGUGAAAUACAUAGAGAUGUCAUAGAACACCGAUUGCGAAGGCAGCUCACAAAACUAUAACUGACGCUGAGGCACGAAAGUGCGGGAUCAAACAGG
rnacentral:rRNA from 1 species